GGGCCCAUAACUCAAUGGCAGAGUGACUCCCUUUUAAGGAGUAAGUUGGAGGUUCGAGUCCUCCUGGGCUCACAA
rnacentral:tRNA from 3 species